GACCAUUUUCAGAAUGUUGUCUAACCAGUUAAUAGAUACUGGUAUCAGUAGUAGUAGUAAUUUUGAACUGUAAAAAUAAAGGUUGUUUUUAUGACUAAAAUAAACUACUUCAUGUGUUCAUUCGUUUUGCUGUUUAUCUAUAUUAAUAUUUCAAAUUAUUGCUUAGUCAAAACCUCAAGGUAUUAGUCACUGGUUUUUGAGCUUAUAAAGGAAGCCACUGGAGCAAGAUAUAAAAUUAACCAUUGAUGUUAGUCCAGAGUUCAAAAGGAUUUUAGGUGAUGGGCAAGUCAGAAAGUCAGAUGGAUAUAACUGAUAUCAACACUC
rnacentral:lncRNA from 1 species